ensembl:lncRNA
UGCUGCACAGAGCGCUGCUCGACAGGAAGAAAAGAGAUGUGAGGCACUGCAAUUAAGUGAUUAUGCAAAUCUAAACAGGGAUUUUGUUUUAAAGUAUUUUCCAGAAUGAACAUGAUGUGAUUGCAAAAGACAUGUGAGCCACUCUCGGAGCCAAGAAACAGGAACGGCCUGGCCCUGCAGAAUACACACCUGGGAAUAACUGAGCCAGUCACUGGAUGUCACCAUUGAGCUGCAGAAAUGUGGCUUGAAGUUCAUUAUUUAUCUGCUUUUAAAAGUACUAGUUUUUAAGGAAAGCAUCGGUCACUGGAAACCCUUGGUCCGUGUAGUGAAAAUCCCAUGUACACCCAUUUCCUUCCAGCUGCUGACGGUGAUGAGACGGGACAGCCAGUGACUGGGAGUUUCUCUGAUGUCAGAUAACCAUCUCGAUGCACGUCUGAGAUGCCUUUCAACUCCGACUGCCUCAGCUGUCACCCAGCCACUGCUCUGGAGAAAGAUAAACUUCUGCCUUCUCCUGUUUCUCUUUCCCCUCUGCCAUUGUAAGUCACACUUAAGGCUUGCAUUGAUUCUCCAACAUAUUGUGGAGACGAGGAGCAGGGAGGCACCAGAGCAAGCUGCAUUCAAUUACACAGCCAUGAACUGACACCUGCCAGGUCUCUCACACAGCAUCUGAUCACCAAUUAAGGGGAUGAUUUAUGGUUUAAAGAGAGAAUGCCCUUCCUGUCUCAUGGCUUAGUUGUUUGGGGAAGAGGCCAACUCACAGACAGCAAGAAGAAAUUGGGGUUUCUUGGCAAACCAAGAUCUUCAGAUGCAAACUUCACUCAUGGGCUCAUUAGCACCAAACACAAGAUAAACUUGACCUGUGUUACAGUGUCCAUCCUUUGGGCAUACCAGAGAAAUCACUCCAGCCCUAUUCAAUACCCUGGGCAGCAUGUGGACUUCUAAUUAGAGUGAGUAAUUUUUUUUAUUUCUCUCCCUGGAAGUUCUGAGGAAUAAGAUCAUUCUUCUAAGUCUAGAAAUAACUCUAUUAAUUUUUUUGAAUGU